GCUAGCGUGGCCAAGUGGUCGGGCAGCCUCCUUUAAACCUCUACGAUAUGUGAGCCCAGGUGGAGGAGACGCAGGUUCGAGUCCCGGCGGAUGCA